ACACAUGCAGUCGAACGGUAACAGGACUUCGGUCGCUGACGAGUGGCGCACGGGUGAGUAACGCGUGGGUUACCUGCCCAUAAGUGGGGAACAACUUGGAGAAAUCCAAGCUAAUACCGCAUAAUACCUUCGGGUUAAAGAGGGGGAUCUUCGGACCUCUCGCUUAUGGAUGGUCCCGCGUCUGAUUAGCUAGUUGGUAGGGUAAUGGCCUACCAAGGCAAUGAUCAGUAGCUGGUCUGAGAGGAUGAUCAGUCACACUGGAACUGAGACACGGUCCAGACUCCUACGGGAGGCAGCAGUGGGGAAUUUUGCACAAUGGGCGAAAGCCUGAUGCAGCGACGCCGCGUGCGGGAAGAAGGCCUUCGGGUUGUAAACCGCUUUCAACAGGGAAGAAGGAAUGAGAGCUAAUACCUCUCUGCCUUGACGGUACCUGUAGAAGAAGCACCGGCUAAUUUCGUGCCAGCAGCCGCGGUAAUACGAAAGGUGCAAGCGUUGUUCGGAUUUACUGGGCGUAAAGAGAUCGUAGGUGGCUUGUUAAGUCGGAUGUGAAAUCCCGGGGCUCAACCCCGGAACUGCAUCCGAUACUGGCAGGCUUGAGUUUGGGAGGGGUAAGCGGAAUUCCGUGUGUAGCAGUGAAAUGCGUAGAUAUACGGAGGAACACCUGAGGCGAAAGCGGCUUACUGGACCAAUACUGACACUGAUGAUCGAAAGCGUGGGUAGCAAACAGGAUUAGAUACCCUGGUAGUCCACGCCCUAACGAUGUCAACUAGCCGUUGCGGGUAUCGACCCCUGCAGUGGCGCAGCUA
rnacentral:rRNA from 1 species